rnacentral:rRNA from 1 species
CAACAGGGAUUGCCUCAGUAACGGCGAGUGAAGCGGCAAGAGCUCAAAUUUGAAAUCUGGCUCCUUCGGGGCCCGAGUUGUAAUUUGUAGAAGAUGCUUCGGGUGUGGCUCCGGUCUAAGUUCCUUGGAACAGGACGUCAUAGAGGGUGAGAAUCCCGUAUGUGACUGGAUGCCUACGCCCGUGUGAAGCUCUUUCGACGAGUCGAGUUGUUUGGGAAUGCAGCUCAAAAUGGGUGGUAAAUUUCAUCUAAAGCUAAAUACUGGCCAGAGACCGAUAGCGCACAAGUAGAGUGAUCGAAAGAUGAAAAGCACUUUGGAAAGAGAGUUAAACAGUACGUGAAAUUGUUGAAAGGGAAGCGCUUGCAAUCAGACUUGCGCCCGGGCGAUCAUCUGGGGUUCUCCCCAGGGCACUCGUCCGGGCUCAGGCCAGCAUCAGUUCUCGUGGUGGGAUAAAGGUCCUGGGAAUGUGGCCCCUCUCGGGGGGUGUUAUAGCCCAGGGCGCCAUGCCGCCUACGGGGACUGAGGACCGCGCUUCGGCUAGGAUGCUGGCGUAAUGGUUGUAAGCGACCCGUCUUGAAACACG